GUGUGUGUGUGUCUCAUGAAUAAAUAAAAUCUUACAAAAAAAUAGUAUUUUAGAUCUGUUAAGAAAGAAUGAACCAUUCAAUAAAAGAUUUUAAAGUAACUGGGUAUUUCUUUAGGGGGAAAAUGUUAGAUCCCCUACCUCAACCAUACCUAAAAACAAAACAGAUCUAUACAGGUUGAAAAAUAUAAAUUAUAACAAAUAUAAGUAUAGACGAAGACAGUAUAAAGGCAACAAAGGCCUCGCUAACAAGACCCACAUCCCAUAGGCCACAAGGAAAGAACUCGCAUAUAUGGUGACAGACUCAAAACAUCUCCCAUUUCUUGUAGUCUCGCCCCCUUCACCCUUGGAUUGUUGGUCAUCUUCUGGUGACUGAUAAAACUCUUUUCAUAUUAAAUAUAUUAAUCCUUUCAGUGGCUUCCACUGAAUUUCAGUGUUUCAAAUGCUGGCCAGUGUUUUCAUCUUUAAGGAGACAGAACAGUGGAAUAAGAGCACAGGAUUUGCAGUUAAGUAAAACUGGGUUCUGCUUUGGGUUUUGCCACUGGAGCCUUAAGCUGAUCCCCUUUUAUGUAUGAAAGAGGGAUGGUAAUAUUGUCCUCCCAGGGUUGUGGGCAUGAAAUUGGAUAUGGAAAAUUCUUCUUCCUAUGCUUGGCAUAAACCAGUGCCAAGUCAUUAUGGAACUGAAGAAAAGGUAAACAGGCAACCUCCAGCACAGGUGACUAUAAACAUGACAUGCUUUGGAGUAGCCUGAUGCAGGAUUUUAGCUACAGUAUUUUAACCAAAACUAUUCACAUAAUUCAGUGUGUGGAAAAAGCUGCUGAGUAAAUCUAAUUAAUCAACAAGAUGAUAUUUUUAUCUUUAAGCCAUGUCCUUUUUUCCAGGAUGACUGAUAUAGCUCCAUGAGGGUGGAUACUAUCUCUCAUCAUUUCAACCAAGGAAAGAAAUCAGUGGUAGUCUGAAAGUGGCUGCUUAUGUAAAAACUGCAUUCCAUGCCAGGCCUGAAAUGUUCCAAAGCUCACUUCCGUCAAUACAUUGCAACUCAUAUUUCUACAAAAAAAGACACAAGCAAAAGAAGAAGGAAAAAAGUUUAAAGCUUGUCCUGGAGCACUGCUGUGAUAAUCCAGUAGCGUGGCAUGUUAAUCCACGGCCUUCAAAAUCCUAGAAGACUAGCUCUAAUCUCCUACUCUACAGGUACUCAAGAUAUUUUUCCUGUAGUUUGCCUUUCUCCCAGUCUCCUUUGUAAGCUUAUUCGCCCUACAAUGUCUUUCUGAUGAUACCCAAUAGCUCUUCAAGGUCCUGUUGAAACAGCAUUGCUCUAAUAGCUUCCUUGAUCCAAUGUGAAGUCUUUUCUUCCUCAUCUGUAUUCCAAAACCAAUUUAUACCUCUCGUUGCCCAUAUCCAUUUCUUCUUCUUCUUUUGAAAAAAACAUUUAAAGUAGGCUUCACACCCAACCAGGGGCUUGAAAUCAUGACCCUGAGAUCAAGAGCCACAUGCUCUACCAACUCAGCCAGCCAGGCAUUCCAAUUUAUUUUUAAUAUAGUUAUUUUUGCAUCCUUUUUCCUCUGAGCAUAAAAUGCUUGAAAGUAUGGACUAGUUGUGUUCAUCUGCAUUGUCUACCAUGUUUAAAACUGACACAUGUUUCUUUCGUGUUGAGUUUAAUAAGUUCUUUAUAGAUCCUGGAAAACUAGCCCUUUAUCUGAUACGUCAUUUGCACCAAAGAAACAAACAAUCCAAUCAUGAAAUGGGCAAAAGACAUGAACAGAAAUCUCACAG